CCGGCUUCCCUCAGUCUGUAGAUCUGGGCCUUGAAGGAUGUUUAGGAGGUAGUUAAUCCGUUCCCCAGGAUCUCACCGGAUCCUCCCCAGGGCCAUUGGGACCAGAAACCGCCAUUGCCAUUAAACAGACCAGGCAGAGCAAGAGACGCAUCUCACUUGUCUGCUGAUAAAGCCCCCUCGCUGGCCCUUGGUGGGGCGGUACUCUCUCCCUCUACUUGGUUGCAUCGCACAAUGAGCGCUCCAUUGGAACCCCAAAGACGAAGAGGAAAUCACCAGCACUUCAAACGCCCCCUUGAACCUAUGGGCAGAGCGACUUUGCAGUUUCCAGAAAGAGCACUGGUUUGGAAAGAGACCUUUAGGUCUGAAUUACAGCUCUGCCACUUCCUUGCUUAACCUUUUUCAGCAUAUCAUCCUAAGGUUGAUGAAUGUUACAGGGAAGGAAAAUGAUGAUUUACUGUAUCUUUCUCAUGAGAUGAAUCAGAGAAGCCUGCAGUGAUGGGAAGAUUGACAAGACUGGAAACUCCUUGAGGGCAGGUCUGUGCCUUGCUCACCGUUAGACCCUGAGUGCCUGGUGUGGAGCAGUGGACACUCAGUGAAUGUCUGGGAAUAUCUGAAGGAAGGAGGGAAUGAAGGGAAGAACCCUGUCCCUUUCCUCCAAAGAGUUGAUAAUCAUACUGCGACACACAAACUGUGCGGCACAUAGAGACCGUGGGUGGAGGAAUGAUAAUGAAGGCCCCAUCCACGACUUGGAAAGAAGGCUGGCUGUCUUCUGAGUACUGAAGCCAUGCAUUCACACACCCUGCAAGUGCUUAGCCAUCUGUGAUCGUAAAUCAAGACAUUAAGGGUAGGGCUCAAAAUCCAGAACCCAAACUAGCUGACAAGAGGGUAAUCACUGGAUGGAGACUGCAAUUUAAAACACGGAAACCAGAUGGAUUGUAAUAUUCCCAGUGCAAAAAGUCUGGGCAAAAGAAGGGAGGAGUGGCAAGCUUGGAGCAGAGAACCAGGAAGACCCAAGGGCACAAAACUGGCAAUGUGUGUCCAGCAUUGUCAUUGUCCAGCAAGAGGGGCUCUUGCCAGCGGGCGUGAACAUUGUCACUCCCUUGGCAAGAGCCUUCGCUUCAGUGAGAAGGAGAAUUCCGAAGUAUUUCGGCUGAAAGACCCUUCUUACGUGAUGACCUCAAUCAUUCUCACACACUAAAGUAACCUUCUGAUGUGAAACUAGCUUGGCACAAAGCUUUCUAUGAUUAUCGGGAGGAAAAUAUGGGGAUCACGUUAACUUCAGUGCCCUAGCCUAUGUGACUAUUAAAUAUCUCAUGGGAAACAAAGACAAUGGAAUUGUGGUUGGCUUGUUGGUCUGUUAUGAAUCAUAGUGUCCCUGGGACUGCUCAACUCUGGGAACUGAAUCCAGUUAAGUUUCUUGACCCAAGAAGCUGGAUACCAGAACCUCUGUUAUGGUGACUUUGAGAAGCUGGAAAAACAAUCAGAUGACUCUUGCGCUUACGUAAUUAAGUACGAGCCGUCAUCAAAUGCCUCAGAUGCUUCUAUACAGAACCUGCUGCUCAAAGUUCAGCAACAGUUAUACGUCUGAUACUCAUAUUCUGGCACUGCCACCAUCUAAAAUUACCCUACGUAUUCAUGGAUUUACUGAUGGAUUGCCUGCAAGUUCCAUGGGCGCAAGGACUUUGUUCUGCUCAUCCCAGCAUCCAGAACAGUGUUUGUUGAAUGACUUCACAAUUUACUCCCGGUGAGCCCAGGGAAACGAUCGUCUAUUACA